rnacentral:misc_RNA from 1 species
UCCGGUUUAGCACCGGCAGUCUUCCCAGAGUCCCCGCCAUAACGCGCUGGCAACUGAGAACGGGGGUUGCGCUCGUUGCGGGACUUAACCCAACAUCUCACGACACGAGCUGACGACAGCCAUGCAGCACCUGUAACCGAACUCCGAAGAGGGCGCCGUGUUUCCACAGCGUUUCUCGGUUAUGUCAAGCCUAGGUAAGGUUCUUCGCGUUGCGUCGAAUUAAACCACAUGCUCCACCGCUUGUGCGGGCCCCCGUCAAUUCCUUUGAGUUUCAGCCUUGCGGCCGUACUCCCCAGGCGGGGCACUUACUGCGUUAGCGGCGACACUCAGGGGGUCGCUCCCCCAAGCAUCUAGUGCCCAUCGUUUACGGCGUGGACUAC